GACGAGGGAUCCAAGCGUUGUUCGGAAUUAUUGGGCGUAAAGCGGAUGCAUGUGGCUUUGUUAGUCAGGUGUGAAAUCCCCGGGCUCAACCUGGGAACUGCAUCCGAAACUGCCUUGCUAGAGUAUGGGAGAGGGAAGUGGAAUUUCCGGUGUAGCGGUGAAAUGCGUAGAUAUCGGAAGGAACAUCAGUGGCGAAGGCGACUUCCUGGACCAAUACUGACGCUCAGGUGCGAAAGCGUGGGGAGCAAACAGG
rnacentral:rRNA from 1 species